rnacentral:rRNA from 1 species
UACGGAGGAUGCAAGCGUUAUCCGGAAUGAUUGGGCGUAAAGCGUCCGCAGGUGGCUGUGUAAGUCUGCUGUUAAAGAGUGAGGCUCAACCUCAUAAAGGCAGUGGAAACUACACGGCUAGAGUGCGUUCGGGGCAGAGGGAAUUCCCAGUGUAGCGGUGAAAUGCGUAGAUAUUGGGAAGAACACCGGUGGCGAAGGCGCUCUACUGGGCCAUAACUGACACUGAUGGACGAAAGCUAGGGGAGCGAAAGGG